UUGGAAUAAUUCAAGGUUAAAUUGAAAAGAAUAUAGAUUUGUAAAGAAAGGAUGAUUAAAAGUAAAAUGGACUAAUUAUUUUAUACAUAUAUCCCCAAAAGAAAAAAGAAAAAAAAAAGAAAAAGAAAAAGAGAGUAGAAAAUGUCGAAAAUGCCCCUCUCGGUUGGAUUGUCUAUUCAAAUGAUGCUUCUUUUUUUGUUGUUGUUGUUUCUGGGCAGUGAACUUUAAUUUGAUCGUACUUUGUCCUUUUAUUAUGUUUUGAUGAAACACGAUGGAUUUUUCAUGGCAUCUUCUCCCUCUUUGGGUCCCUUCUUUCUUUCUUCUCGAAACAGCAGUAAUAUGUACAAUUUUUUAUUCACUUAUAUAUAUAAAUUCUUUAGUGGACUAUAAGUCUUUCUUCAUCAGACACAGACUUCAAGUUUUCAACUCUCACCAUCUUCUUCUUCUUCUUCCUCUUCUUCUUCUUCUUCUUCUUCAAAAACUUCUGUUCCAAUUUCUGUUCAUAAUUACUAGAUAUGGUUAGAGCUCCAUUUUAUGAUGAAAAUGGAAUUAAAAAAGGUGCAUGGAGUGCUGAAGAAGAUGAAAAGCUCAGAGCUUAUGUUCAAGAAUAUGGUCAUUGCAAUUGGCGAGAGCUUCCUAGAUAUGCUGGUAAUUCGUUCGCUAAAGUUACUAAGUUAAUUCAUUGAUUAAUUGAUUGAUGAUUGAUUCAUAUAAACCUCCAAAAUCCCUUUUGGGUAUAAUAUGUAAUUGACAAAUUAAAGAACUAAUGACCCAUUUGAAAAAAAUAUAUGGCUCCUUAUACUUGGUUUUGUUUUCAAUUGCUUUACUAAAACCUUGUAGAGAGAUGGACUAUACCAUAACUUACAAAGUAUUAUGAUCCUUUUGAGUUCAUAUUUGAUCUUGAUCUUCUUUUCUCUCAAGUUCUUUUGUAAAAUUCAAAACAUCCAUUUAAAAAGAAAAUGGCCCUCUUUUACUUAAUUUCAGUUUUAAUUUCUUUAAUUAUAUACACCUUAUUGUGAGAUGAACUGGAUAUCCCCCAUUAAUUAAGUUUAAUUUUGAUUUUCUUCUUUCUUUGAAAUUAAUUAUUUAGUAAAACCCCAAAUAACCCACUUAAAAAAAAUAGCCCUUUUUACUUAACUUUGUUUUUUUCGACUGCUUCAAUAAAAACCUUUAUAGAUAGAUGAAUCAGAUAGUUUCAUUUUAGGGUUUAUUCUUCUUUUUUUGAAGUUAGUAAAAACAAAAACAAUAACCCAGCUGGAAUCAAAGAGGGCUCCUUUAGUUUUAGUAUAGUUUAGGUUUUAAUAGAGAAAUUAAUAAUUGAGAAUAUCACCUUAGUGUUCAAUCCAUAUCUUCUUCUUUCCUAUGAAGUUUGUUUUGUAGAAUCUCAUUUCCAAAAGAUGUCUUCUUUUUCUAAUUACUUUAAAAUAAACCAAGUUAUGCAUAUAACUUAAUUACAUAUUCUUGAUGAACAUGGUAUAAUUAAUUUAAUUAAACAAGUAUUUUAUUGAGAUACUGAGAUUUGGUUGUGAUUUUUUUCAUGAUUAGGUUUGUUGAGGUGUGGUAAAAGUUGUCGACUGCGUUGGAUCAAUUACCUUCGUCCAGAUGUGAAAAGAGGCAAUUACUCCAAAGAAGAAGAACAAUUAAUCCUACAAUUGCAUCAACAAUAUGGAAACAAGUAUGAUUUUUUUUUCUAAGUAUUAAUUUCAUCAAACAUUAAUAUCACAUGUUUUCAAUAUAUAUAUGCAUCUCUCUUAUGAUAUAUCAUUACCAAUGUUACUUCUGAUAACUAGAGAGCUUUCCUUUAAUUUAAUCACUCCUUUAUACAUUUCUUGUAUGCUAUCAAUGAAUCAUCCUUUUUCAAUAAAUAAAAGAAAAUACAUUUCAUUUUCAGAAGAGCGAUUAGAUUAGAAUUAAGGUUAGUAUGUUUAAUCAGUAUCCUUCCAUUUGAGUAUUAGCUAAUUUUGUUCAAAUAAUUAAUCUAUUCAAAUAUUUUUUUUAGGUUAAACCGAUUUGUCAUAGUUAUGCUAUACAAUAGUUUGGUGUAGUUAAAAUAGUUAAAAUAUGUGCGAAAAAAUCUCUUAUCGUAAUAUUAGUUAUAUUUAUAAUGUAUGAUUAAUUUUUUCUUCAGAUGGUCAAUGAUAGCUACAAAAUUACCCGGACGAACCGAUAACGAAAUAAAGAAUUAUUGGCAUACCCAUUUAAAGAAGGUGAAAAGCAACAAGAAUGCAAAGAAGCAUGAGGAGGAGGAAAUUUGCAGUAAUAAAAAACCCAUCCAAAAGAGAGAAACUACAAUAACAUCAGAAGACAAAACCAUUCUGACCAAAGAAAUACUGCCAUUAUCUCAUCAGAUAUUUGAAAGCUCUUCAUUUUCGACUUUGUCCUCUGAAAUUUCCACAGUGACUUCGAAUCAAGAAUCCACACAAGAUAGCCCUCCAACACCAUUAUUCAAGUUUCAAGAAGAACCAUAUGAUCAUCAUAACAAUGGAGAUUUUUGGGCUAAUCCAUUGUUUGAAGCUGAAAAUUAUUUUGAAGCUGAAAGUGAUCAAAACUCAAUCAACUUUGGUUUUACUGGAGGCUUCAAUCACACUUAUGAUUUUGAGUUACUUGAUGAAAACUACUUGUUAGAUCAAGCAAUGAAAGAAUUGCCUGAAAAUUAUCAAUCCCAAUUGUAUCUCUUUUGAAAAACAAAAAAAUAUUGUAUGUGUGUGUGUGUAUAUAUAUAUAUAAUAUAUAUAUAUAUAAGUGAUUAAUGGUAGAACUCUGUUACAUCAAAUAACUGUGUUAUGAAGUGUUUUGGAGAGUUAGAAUAUAAUUGAGAUUACUAGUAGUCAUAUGUCCAAUUGAGGUAAGAACAAAAAUGUAAUGAUAAAGUAUGAAAAAAUAGGGCUUAAUUGAAAAAGAAUACCUUCCCCAAAAUGUAAGGAGGAAGAUGAUAUUUUGUUCAUUAAAAAUUAGAACUAUAGCAGUGUAGCUCCAUAACCUAAUGGAGUAAGGAAAGGAAAGGAAGAUGAUUAGAACAUAUAUAUAAAUAUUAAAUGUAGAAAAGGC
rnacentral:lncRNA from 1 species